rnacentral:snRNA from 1 species
GUGCUCGCUUCAGCAUUAUAUAUGAUAACAUUAUAACAAUACAGAGAAGAUUAGCAUGACCCCUGCACAAGGAUGACAUAAAAUUUAGGAAGUAUUCCAUUUCUUU